AUGAAUGAUUAUUGCUGCUUUCUUUGUGCUCAUGGCACUAAAGAAACUCUGCUUCAUCUUAUCUGGGAUUGUGAUUUUGCUCUAAGGUGCUGGGAUUUCUUGAUCCCCAACAGAAACAGAGGCCUUUCUUUUUUAUUACGACUCUAUCCUGGCUCUUGGACAGCUCCCACUACAUAUAGCCAUGGAUAUAAUUACUCAUGCUUGCUGGAACAUCUGGAUGCAGCGCAAUGGGAAGGUUUUCAGAAAUGCAGCCCCUUUGGUUCAAGCAUGGAAGCACUCUUUUCAGAGAAGAUCUUGAACUGCUAG
rnacentral:rRNA from 1 species